CGUUUUCAUUCAAAAAUCUAAGGAUGAAAUUGAAAUUAUAGAUCAAGCAAAGAGAAGAUAUAUAGUAGCUGUUGCUGCCAUUGACCCGAACGAGGAUUAUUUUCUUAUUUAUAAUCUUUUUGAAAGACACACAUUUGGGAUGUUGACAGUACGGAUAAAAAGACCCUUAAUUAUUCUCUAACUGUAGUUCAAAAACUACAGCUGAAGGCGGGUUUAUAACAUUUAUACUCUUAAACCCCU
rnacentral:lncRNA from 1 species